rnacentral:lncRNA from 1 species
GGACUUGAGCAAAAUCAGAUGUUAUUGGUGUGACGAGUUGGGGCAUCUAGCUAGAAAUUACUCUCAACUCAAAGAUCAGACGAUGGCUGCUGUAGCGACGGCCAGUAGCAUUCAGAGGAAGAUGUCUUAGAGAUAUCUGAUGAGGUAUCUACUUCUUUCCAGCAGUAAAUUUUAGAUUCCGCAUGCACCUAUCAUGUAUGUUACAGAGAGGAGCAGUUUGACUCUUUGGAGAACAGUGAGGGUACUAUUUAUCUAUCGGAUGGAUCGAGC